UACGAAGGGUGCAAGCGUUACUCGGAAUUACUGGGUGUAAAGCGUGCGUAGGUGGUUUGUUAAGUCUGAUGUGAAAGCCCUGGGCUCAACCUGGGAAUGGCAUUGGAUACUGGCGAGCUAGAGUGCGGCAGAGGGGGGUAGAAUUCCACGUGUAGCAGUGAAAUGCGUAGAUAUGUGGAGGAAUACCGAUGGCGAAGGCAGCCCCCUGGGUCGACACUGACGCUCAUGCACGAAAGCGUGGGGAGCAAACAGG
rnacentral:rRNA from 1 species